UGAAACCAGACAUCAAGCAGAGAGCUUGUCUCCUGACACAGGAAGGCUGCUGGGGAACAACUGGGCUCUCCUUCUUGCCAUUUUGUGGAUGAGAAAACGGAAGCUCAGGCAGGCCAAGAGGCUGAGCUGUGGUCUUCUGGUGUCAGCUCAGGCUUUGAAUCUGAAAAUUACUGAUUCUGGCUCUCAUGGUGGAUAUUAGGCAUCUCUCGAAAUCCAGCCAGCAUCUGAGGUUACUGACCACUGGAAGAAAGGCCAGGUCCCAUGCCAAAGCUGUGGAGCUCAAGGAUAUCUAAUACUUGGGCUCCACCUGCAAAUCUCACUGCCUUUACGGGGGACUGACAUCACACUAUGGGCCAAUUAAUACUGUGCUGUUUUUUACCAGAGACAUGUACAAAAAAGCUGCAGCAAUAAAGGUAUGAAGCACAACGGGGCAUUUCAC
rnacentral:lncRNA from 1 species